GGGGCCAAUCAGCUGACUGUCAGCUGGGACCAGAACUUUUUAACUCCUUCCUGACUGAAAGCGAUUUUCCGGAGUCCCUCGGAAGGGGACUCACCAUUUUUCAUUCUUCAAAAGCGGGGGGCAGAGCCCCUAUUUAUCUCCACCGGGCAUUACAGUUAGGAAUAGAGAAAAGCCAAGGGGAUGUUUUGUCUCGUGGCUGGGGAUGGCUGGUGUUGUUCAGUAGGAAGGAAUACAGAAUGAUCCAGGCGGUGGUGUCUCAGUGUGGGGAAGAGGAAAGACUAAGCUGAGUUAAUUUUCACAUGCCUGCCUCGGAUCAAAACCAGAGUGUCUUGCGCCAUUCAGCCAUCAAGCUCGACAGGACCAUGUGACCUGGCCUUUAUGAAAAAGAAGCUACAGCAAUGUCUUUUGAAAGAGCACUGCAAAGAUGCAAAGAGCCAGGGUCGUAAGAGAAGAGAGAAUGCUGUCUGCCACAAGAGAGCCUGAUGAUGAAAGCCACCAGUGAUUAAAAAAAUAUUUAAUACCAA